rnacentral:rRNA from 1 species
UACGGAGGGUGCAAGCGUUAAUCGGAAUUACUGGGCGUAAAGCGUGCGCAGGCGGUUUGUUAAGUCUGCUGUGAAAUCCACGAGCUCAACUUGGGAAUUACAGUGGAUACUGGCAGGCUGGAGUAUGGUAGAGGAAGGUGGAAUUCCCGGUGUAGCAGUGAAAUGCGUAGAGAUCGGGAGGAACACCAGUGGCGAAGGCGGCCUUCUGGACCAAUACUGACGCUCAUGCACGAAAGCGUGGGGAGCAAACAGG